UGCAGAAGACACCUAUCAUCAGCCUUGCUGGAUCCAAGGGAACGACUGUAACAAAUGGGAACUUCUGGCGACACCAAGGUAUGCUUACAGAGGUUCUUUGGGAGAACACCCAGCUCCUAAGUUAUGGGAGAGGAUUUGGUCCAUCAGAAGAGCCGCCACGCGGUGGUUAAGAAUUCACCUGCCAAUGCAGGCGACACGGAUUCGAGCCCUGGUCCGGGAAGAUCCCACCUGCAGCAGAGCAACUAAGCCCGUGUGCCACAAUUACUGAGCCUGCGCUCUAGAGCCCACGAGCCACAACUACUGAAGCCCGCGCGCCUAAAGCCUGUGCUCUGCAACAAAGAGAAGCCACCGCAAUGAGAAGCCUGUGCACAGCAAAAAGGAGUAGCACCUGCUCGUGGCAACUAGAGAAAGCCCGUGCGCAGCAACGAAGACCCAACGCAGCCAAAAAAAAAAAAAAAAUAUAUAUAUAUAUAUAUAUAUAUAUAUAUAUAUAUAUAUAAAAGAAGAGCCGCCAGCACAGUCAAACUGCUUACAAAACUAGACAAUUCUCUUCCGGGUUUCUAAUCACUUUCCCACCCUCACCCCCACGCCUCUCCUGGAGGACAGACUUCCCCGUCCAGAUGUCAAUCAUCCCUUUCAGGGCACUGAAGAAGCAUAAACAGAGUUGAUUUAUCACCCCUGGACAGCACUGUGGACCAGAAAGUUUUGAGCUCAGCCUUGAGAACAAGGGUGAUGCUGGGAGUAACCCACUGACAGGAGCCGUAGUGUGGAGACCCGGCCACAGCAGCAGCCCGGCUACCUAGACCUGCCGGCUCACAGGCUCUCCGUCCUCAUUCAAUUCCAGGCCCUGCAUAAUCCUCAAUCUGUGUUCGUUUGGGAGGUUCACCCCUGUCAAGCCUCCGCACAGCAGGGACAGACAUAAACAAGGAAGCACUGUCCCCCGCCCCCUUCACAGGUGCCCCAUGCCCCUACCCUCGCCUUCCCCACAAUCCUCAGGUUUCAGGAGCAGCCGCACACUCACCCCUCAACGCCCACCUACCCGUGAAUGGGCUGCAGCCCUGAGCCCCUGCCGCUGCCUGCCGAGUGGAAUCCGAGCCUGUUUACUCCGCAGCAGCGACACGCUGGGGCCGGAAGCGCUCCAACUGCCCCAGCUUCCCGGCUUGUGCGCUAACGGGCUAUGUUUGUAAGCUGAUAAUAUGAUCUGUAGGCCAUGUGCUGAUAAACUAUCUAUCUAUUCUAUGUGACUCAGCCCAGCAUGAGACAAAACAGACUUGGGCGGGGAGGGCUUGUCACAGCGUAAACGAUGUGCCGGGCAAUCUGAGCCAUAUAAACCGGGAUUAUCUGCACCUCCCUGCAGAUGGCGGGGGGCCUUUCAACAUUGGACAUCCUGAAGUGUGCUAAAAAAAAGAAAACGGGUCAGAGAAGGCAAAGGGUGCCAUAUUCUUAGCCCGCUAAGCUGGAAACCAAACUGAAAGCCAUAUGACCAUGGAAAUGUAAUUUUUUUUUUCAGUAUUUGAAGCAGAUGUCCAAGGUCUUGAUUUCAUCCUUACAUUUUUUUUCUUAAAUUAAUUUAAUUUAAGAAAUUAAUUUCCUAAAACAUAUGUGAGUUUAAGUUCUCUUUAGAGAUUUUACUAUUUUGGCAAAUAUGUUUCUCUGAUAUCCAACAGUGGGACAAUAUGACAGUUAAUAAGCAGCAAUCGUGCCUACACAACCCCUUGGUGCCCCUUCACGGCAACAGUUCCUCAUACACCUUCACCCUAAAACAGAAAAACACCUUUUGUCUAAUAUAUACAUAAUAACUCUAAUUACAAAACAGUUUGAUUUCUGAAGGACUAUCUUCUAUAAUGGAACAUUUUCUGUUUGUUUACAUUUUAAUUAAAUGACCAUUUUUAACUCAAUACUAAGUUAGUGGGGCUCAAAUAUAUCUUUGUGACUAUACUGAAUCAUACCUCUAAAAUGUUAGAUGUGCUUUUUAUUACUUAGGAUAGAAUUUUCAUAUUAUGUUUCUCUUUUGAUAAAUAAUGUAAGUUACCUAUUCAGUAAUUAAUGUUUAGUUUGCAUUUUGUUUUCUUUUUUUUUUCUGGCAUCCUGAACUAGAGAAUAUAAAUUGAAAAAGCAGUUUCAGUUCAGAUUCUACUUGAAUACUAUUUCAAUUUAUAAGAGAGAGAAACAUUCAAAAGCUUAAUCAUAUUUAAGUGGAAAAAAUUUUUUCCCACAAAUGCAUUCAGAAUACAAUGGGAUUGGGCUUCCCUGGUGGUGCAGUGGUUAAGAAUCCACCCGCCAAUGCAGGGGACACAGGUUCGAGCCCUGGUACGGGAAGAUCCCACAUGCCGUGGAGCAACUAAACCCGUGCGCCACAACUACUGAGCCUGCACGCUACAGCCCACAAACCACAACUACUGAGCCCAUAAGCCACAACUACUGAAGCCCGUGUGCCUAGAGCCCGUGCUCUGCAACGAGAGAAGCCAACGCAAUGAGAAGCCCGUGCACCACAACGAAGAGUAGCCCCCGCUCUCCACAACUAGAGAAAGCCUGCGCGCAGCAAUGAAGACCCAACACAGCCAAAAAUAAAUAAAUAAAAAUAAAAUUAAAAAAAAAAUACAAUGGGAUGCCUUUAUGAUGCUGAUUGGAUGAACAGGCCAUUGUAUAGUGCAGACUCCUCAGACUAUAAUGAUGUGCACUCAACAGGAUUGAGAAAUUUAGCAAAUGAAAAUAACUUUCAGUUACAUUUGAAUUUCAGAAAAAUAACAAAUAAUUUUUUAAUAAUGUGUCUCAAAUACUACAUGAGUCAUACUAAAAAAUUAUUUGUUGUUUCUCUGAAAUUUAAAUAUAAGUGAGUGUCCUGUAUUUUACAUGGCAACCCUCCACCCAAACCACCCAGGACCUUACUAAAAUGCUGAGUCUGAUUCAAGAGGCCAGAGAAGGGCUGAGAGUCUGUAUCUCUAACAAGUUCCAGGUGAUGUGGAAGUUGCUGGUCCAGAGACCAUACUGUGAGCGGCAAGGAUCUAGAAUUAGCAGAGUCUGGUGCAGUGAUACCCAGGACUGGCUUCUCACUGGCAUGGCCUGGAUUGACCCCUCUGCUCCUCAGAAGUUCUGACUCAAGUUCUCGGCUUGUAAAAUUUCUGGGAGACACAGAAAGAAGAUGGCCAUAUGCAAGCCAAAGAGAGAGGCCUAAGAAGAAAUCAAAACUGGUGAUACCUUGAUCUUGGACUUCUAGUCUCCAGAACUGUGAGAAAAUAAAUUUCUGUUAUUUAAGCCAUUCAGUCUGUGGUAUUUGUUAUGUCAACUCUAGCUGACUAAUAAUAAGUAAAUUUCCUAAGCAUAUUGGAUACAAGAUUAAUAUAAAAAUCAGCACCACAAAAGUGGAAGUAAAAGAUACCAUUUACU